CAGAGAUGGCUGAGCUGGUCUAAGGCGCACGACUGGAAAUCGUGUAUACCAGGAAUGGUAUCGAGGGUUCGAAUCCCUCUCUCUGC
rnacentral:tRNA from 1 species